GAGGAGCUGCUCCGGAUCAGCGGCGGACGGGUGAGUAAUGCCUAGGAAUCGCUGGUAGUGGGGGACAACGUUUCGAAAGGAACGCUAAUACCGCAUACGUCCUACGGGAGAAAGCCGGGGACCUUCGGGCCUUGCGCUAUCAGAUGAGCCUAGGUCGGAUUAGCUAGUUGGUGAGGUAAUGGCUCACCAAGGCGACGAUCCGUAACUGGUCUGAGAGGGAUGAUCAGUCACACUGGAACUGAGACACGGUCCAGACUCCUACGGGAGGCAGCAGUGGGGAAUAUUGGACAAUGGGCGAAAGCCUGAUCCAGCCAUGCCGCGUGUGUGAAGAAGGUCUUCGGAUUGUAAAGCACUUUAAGUUGGGAGGAAGGGUUGUAGAUUAAUACUCUGCAAUUUUGACGUUACCGACAGAAUAAGCACCGGCUAACUCUGUGCCAGCAGCCGCGGUAAUACAGAGGGUGCAAGCGUUAAUCGGAAUUACUGGGCGUAAAGCGCGCGUAGGUGGUUCGUUAAGUUGGAUGUGAAAUCCCCGGGCUCACCUGGGAACUGCAUCCAAACUGGCGAGCUAGAGUAUGGUAGAGGGUGGUGGAUUCCUGUGUAGCGGUGAAAUGCGUAGAUAUAGGAAGGACACCCAGUGGCGAAGCGACCACCUGACUGAU
rnacentral:rRNA from 1 species